AGCAAAAAAAAAAUAGAUCACCAGUGUGCAAAGUACAUAUUUUACAGGUCAUUGUGACUGUUUUUGUCCAUUUUAAUGAGGACAGAAAUUCAAAUUUAUGGUGUUAAAAAGUUUGGUGUUAAAAAAACAAAUAUGAUCAUUUGUCAUUAUGUGCAGACAGCUUCAGUAAUCAUAACUUUGAGAUAAAAAGUAAUACAAAUUAUUUUUAGACAUUGCUGAAGAUGAUUUUAACUCAAGUGUGAACGCAGUCAAAGUGUCAAAAACAACUAUGUUUAACAUUCAGGUGGCAAGUUUCAAGGCAGAUGUUUCAUUUUAAUAUCCGGUGUGUUGUGUCCUGAAGCUUUACAACAUAACAUUAAAAAAGAGAGAGAAACAGGUUCCUUUAUGUAAUUGUAAAACAAUUUUAAAGUUACGUUGAUGAAAAAUUAUCUUUAAUUUCUUUAUUUAAUCAGUACCUUUUUUAAAUACUUAACUUAUCUUUACUAUCUCUCCUUCUUUUUGCUACUUUGAAAUUGAAUUUAGUACAUUUUUAAAAAUAGAAUAUAAUUUAUAAUUUUUUAUAAUAAUUUAUUUAUAAUUUUUUAUAAUAAUUUAUAUUUUUUAUAAUAAUUGAUAUUUUUUAUUUGUGAACUAAUUUCAAGCAAUUUAACCAUGCUUUCUGAUUUACGAAAGCCUGGUAAUGUACAUGUACAGAGCAUAUGAGUAUGUGUUUUAUUCUUGAACAUUUUUUUCUUUUGUUCACCUUGGAUUGAACAGCAUGAGGGAAAUGCAGUGACCAGCAGUAACACAUUAGACCAGGCUGGAAUGAUAGGCUGGAUUGUGCAGGAACUGGGAAAAGUGGUUCCACAGCCAGAUGAGAAAUACAGGGUCCACACAGAGACGGAGGAGGUCACUGAGGUGCCAGAGGUCAAACACGUUCAUGAUGCUGAGCCACUGCCUCAUAUUCCUGUGGUGGAGGUUGUGCCUAAUGAGGAACCAGACUCUGCUAACGUGCCUUUCUCUCCCAGGGUAAUAGAAUGGAUUAAGCAUGGUUUUGAGAAAGUAGUUCCUCAGUCUCCUGUCCAUCUUCGUCCUCCCACUAGCACAGAUGCACCCGCCCAGAAGGUUGCUUCUGCACCUGUGACUCCCUGCAAACAAGAGCCAGGUAACAUUUUAAAAAUCAAGAAUGUUAGGCUUUCUUGGUGA
ensembl:lncRNA